rnacentral:rRNA from 1 species
CUCGUAGGCGGCCAACUAAGUCGGACGUGAAAUCCCUCGGCUCAACCGGGGAACUGCGCCCGAUACUGGAUGGCUUGAAUCCGGGAGAGGGAUGCGGAAUUCCAGGUGUAGCGGUGAAAUGCGUAGAUAUCUGGAGGAACACCGGUGGCGAAGGCGGCAUCCUGGACCGGCAUUGACGCUGAGGAGCGAAAGCCAGGGUAGCAAACG